UUUGCAUAAUGACAAACAUUAUCAGUAGGGUUUCCACUUUUGCCAGACAGAAGAAAACAACAGAAGUUAUUUUACCGGAUACAUAUUUUGUAUUGUCAAUAGGUCUACAUGAAUCGUCAGAAACCUCAGGAAAUUUAUAAUUUGUCUCCAACGCCCUUUUAGGCCCACGUUUUAAGAUAACCAAAUAGUCAAACUGUAAAUAAAGCAGAUGUGUGACCAGUCCUCAGGGCAAGUGGCACACUUCCCGUGAAAAAAAGGUGCAGUAGGUUGUUAAUGGACCGUUUCCAUGUCAACACUGAUGCCCUGUUCAGAGACGGCCUGCAUUAUAGCUGUGUUUUCUAUGGGCACACACAUGAGGACAUUUUUACUGGCUUAAAUAUUAAAUUUAAGUAAUAAAAUAAAUUUUACCUGGCAAAAAUCUGUAAUUACCAACUAAUGGAAACCCUGGUGUGUGUGUUUGU